rnacentral:lncRNA from 1 species
ACAGCGAGACGGGCGGUGGGGCUGAGCCGAGGCCCAGGAACGGAGGUAGAGGAGCAGACCCGGGCGACGCGGCCCGCGAGCGAGAGGGUCGUCCGGGUCAGUCCAGCGCAACUCGGGUCACCAGUCCCAGGGCCCUGGUCCCCUUAUUGGAUCUAUGUCUGGGUUUGCUGAAGCACCCGCUGGGCCCAGGACUGCAGAGACGCCCCUACCCAGGCUGUGCCCCGGGUGGAGGGGGACAGGGGGAACGGCUUCAUCGCGGGGUUCGGGGCAGGACAGCUCAGGACCUGCGGAGAUACUGGAUGGUGUAGGAUCCCAGGCCAAAGGUGGCGCACCCUGAGAUCAGCAGCCCAGCUCCCUGCAGCCUUGAGGAGGGCGCUGCCUGCGUCUUUGGGAGCCUCAGCUUCCCCUCCGGUUCCGGGCCUUGGAGUGCUGGUCUGCAGCUGCGGCCUGGCUCUGUGCCCGGCCUGACCCUCGUUCACACUGCACACCCCUGGAGGCAGGACAGAAAGUGUGCACAGCGAAGACCCUGACACCCUACUGGUUGAUGAUCCAAAUCCCGAGGUCCCUCUCAGAGUCCGGUGAGAUCCAGAGCCAGCUAGAGGAAGAAAGUGGCCGCGUCAGCUCCCGAAAGGCCGUCUGGGUGAGGUUGAAAGGAAAAGCCAACAGGAGUUCCCAUCGUGGGGCUUCGGAAACAAUCCGACCAGGAACCAUGAGGUUGCGGUUUCCAUCCCUGGCCUGGCUCAGUGGAUUAAGGAUCCGGUGUCUCUGUGGCUAUGGUGUAGGCCGGCAGCCGUAGCUCCCAUUCGACCAGUAGGCUCUCGGGUCCACCUCCUCUCCCCGUGGUCCUGUGCUGCCUCUUCCUACCCUGCUCCUCAGCAGCUCAGUGCAACUCUCCUGUCCCCCGCAUCCUCCCUGGUCGCACGCAGAGAGCAUCUGUGCAAAGACAACAGACGCGGCCACCCAGACCCUUUAGCUCACAGAGGAUGCCCUGAACGGACUCCCAGGGAGCCUACAGAAGACCACGGACUUGAGAAGGCACUGUGAACUGCUUGGUAGCAUCUGCAAGAUGGGGUUUGGUUUCAGGUCUGUGUCCUGCCCGCCACCCUCAGGCCCCGGUGGGCUCAGGAGGGCCUUGGGCACAGCCCGAGGGGCCUCGACCCUCAUACAGUGCAGAGCAAAGUCAGAGAUGGGUGGAGGCAGCUGCUGCUCCGGGUGGGAGCUGAUGACAUCCCGCCUGUCGUGUAGACAUUUGAGUUAACUGGCCCUGGGGUUGCCAAUAAUCUCAGUCAGGUCAAAGCCUCCACUCGGAGACGUUUGGGGCAGAAACCUGCUGAUUUACCCCUUGUUUUAACUCUUGGGGAACAAGGGGAUUGCUGACCGCUCCCACUGGCAGGGAGCAGGGAGUGGAAAGAGAACAGCCCUCGAGGGAGAGGCCAAGGAGCCCGUCUGCUCUGGCUCUGCACCGUCCAGCACAGUGGCCUCAGCCUGUCCCAACUGCGAUGUGCGAAUGUGCACAAGAAACACCUGAUUUCAAAGACGUUGAAAAAAAUGCCAAAUAUCUUUCUAAUAAUUUUAUAUUGAUUGCCUCUGGAAAUUAUGUUUUAGAUGUGUUAAGGUAAAUAAAAUAUAUUAUUAAAUUU